rnacentral:rRNA from 1 species
UACGUAGGGUGCGAGCGUUAAUCGGAAUUACUGGGCGUAAAGCGUGCGCAGGCGGUUUGGCAAGUCAGGUGUGAAAUCCCCGGGCUCAACCUGGGAAUGGCGAUGGAUACUGGCUCGCUAGAGUGCGGUAGAGGAGAGUGGAGUUCCCGGUGUAGCAGUGAAAUGCGUAGAGAUCGGGAGGAACAUCAGUUGCGAAGGCGGCUCUCUGGACCAACACUGACGCUGAGGCACGAAAGCGUGGGGAGCAAACAGG